UGGAAUUCAAAAACUGUGAGUAUGGUGAACUCAGCCCAUAGGAAGGCUUAGGACAUCAUGGAGGGGAGGGAGGCAGCCCACGGGAAAGGGGUUAUCAGGAGGAUAACAAGUAUGCAGAGGAAUAAAGGUCAGAACUCUGCCAUUUCCAU
rnacentral:sRNA from 1 species